UUAAAUUUUAGUUUAACUUAAAACAUAAUAAUUACAAUAUUAAAAUAUUAUAUAAUAAAUUUUAU
rnacentral:tRNA from 1 species